GAGAGCUUUAUCCUUUAUACUAAAAUUGGAACAAUACAGAGAAGAUUAACAUAGUCCCUGCGCAAGGAUAAUUAAAGUAUUCUAAUAUAAAAUACGUCCAAGCUUU
rnacentral:snRNA from 1 species